GCUGCCGUGUCGGCCCUCCAGGAUCUCAGGUUCACAGAGAACGGGGUGGUGGCGACCACCACAGAAGGGCUGGAUCCCACAGCGGUUAACAUCCUGCAGCAGAUCAUUGAGCUGGGGGCAGAGUCUAAUGAUGCCACAGCAGCCUCCAUGGUGGCCAUGGUCCCUGGCAGAGUGACUGUGGUGGAGCAGGUGGCUGAGGAGGAGGAGCAGGGA